GGCUCAGAUUGAACGCUGGCGGCGUGCUUAACACAUGCAAGUCGCGCGUGAAAGGACUUCGGUCCGAGUAAAGCGGCGCACGGGUGAGUAACGCGUGGAUGAUCUACCCAUGAGUUAGGAAUAACGGCUGGAAACGGUCGCUAAUACCAAGUACGCUCCGAUUUCAACUUCGGGGGGAAAGGUGGCCUCUGCUUGCAAGCUACUGCUCAUGGAUGAGUCCGCGUCCCAUUAGCUAGUUGGUGGGGUAACGGCCCACCAAGGCGACGAUGGGUAGCCGGUCUGAGAGGAUGACCGGCCACACUGGGACUGGAACACGGCCCAGACUCCUACGGGAGGCAGCAGUGGGGAAUAUUGCGCAAUGGGCGAAAGCCUGACGCAGCGACGCCGCGUGAGGGAUGAAGGUCCUCGGAUCGUAAACCUCUGUCAGGAGGGAAGAACCGCCACGGUGCUAAUCAGCCGUGGUCUGACGGUACCUCCAAAGGAAGCACCGGCUAACUCCGUGCCAGCAGCGGC
rnacentral:rRNA from 1 species